UACGGAGGGGGCUAGCGUUGUUCGGAAUUACUGGGCGUAAAGCGCACGUAGGCGGCUUUGUAAGUUAGAGGUGAAAGCCCGGGGCUCAACUCCGGAAUUGCCUUUAAGACUGCAUCGCUAGAAUUGUGGAGAGGUAAGUGGAAUUCCGAGUGUAGAGGUGAAAUUCGUAGAUAUUCGCAAGAACACCAGUGGCGAAGGCGGCCAACUGGUCCGAAACUGACGCUGAGGCGCGAAAGCGUGGGGAGCAAACAGG
rnacentral:rRNA from 1 species